UCAAGUUGCAGCGCCGCACAACGAGUACGGCGACGAGAGAGAAGCCGCACCCGAAAAACCGAGGAAGAAAACACUCCCCUCUCCCUCCCAGCUCAAAAUUUUCCCCUCCACCCCCACUCCAAACCUAGGCUUCCCGGCGCCGCGCUCCACCCCGCCCCUCCGCUGUCGGUCCCCUAGCUCCUCGCUGCUCGUAGUCUGCUGCUGGGCUUCGGGGAGCACCCACCUAGGCUUCCCGGUGCCGGCGCGCCCCGCCACGGCCGGGCCCCCUACCUCCCCGCCACUCGUAGGCUGCUGCCCGGCUUCGAGGAGCGCCAACCUAGGCUUCCCGGCCCCGCGCCCCCGCGGCCAGUCCUCUCCCUCCCCCAUCACUCAUAGUCUGCUGCCCGUCUUCGGCGGCGGCGUUCCUCGUGGGCAGUGGAGUGGAGAUCCACACGGGCGUUGGUUGGUUUUCUGUCCAUUUUUGUUGUGCUUUUGAGAUAGCACCUAGAAAUCCUGUGCAGUUUGCCCACCAACACAAAAAAAAUCCUGAGCAGUUAUAUCGACAUUUCUUCAUUCACAUGAAAUGUCACUUCUUAGUAGAUUCUUCUACAAGAGGCCUCCUGAUGGACUACUGGAGUUUCUUGACAGGAUCUAUGUUUUUGAUUCAUGCUUCAGCACUGAAGUUUUGCCUCAGGGAAUGUACCCAGUGUAUUUAAUUGGGAUUCUUACAGAGUUGCAUGAAGAGCAUGUAGAAUCCUCAUUUCUGGCAAUUAACUUCAGAGAUGGAGAUAAGAGAAGCCAGCUUGCUGAUAUACUACGUGAAUACAACAUUCCAGUCAUUGAUUACCCCCGUCAUUUUGAGGGUUGUCCUGUGCUUCCUUUAUCUCUUAUUCAGCAUUUCCUUCGUGUAUGUGAGCACUGGUUAUCCAGUGGGACCAAUCAGAACAUUAUAUUACUCCAUUGUGAAAGAGGGGCGUGGCCUUUGUUGGCUUUUCUUUUAUCUUGUCUUCUCAUCUACAAGAAACUGAACAGUGCUGAGCAUAAAACUCUGGACAUUAUUUACCGUGAGGCACCUAAAGGGUUCCUACAGCUUUUUUCUGCCCUUAAUCCAAUGCCAUCUCAACUCCGUUACAUGCAGUAUGUAGCCAGAAGAAAUAUAUCUCCACAGUGGCCUCCAAUGGAAAGAUCACUCUCUUUGGAUUGCCUGAUUCUUCGAGCUAUUCCAAGUUUUGAUUCUGAUAACGGAUGCAGGCCAUUAGUCCGCAUUUUUGGUCGAAAUCUUCUUGGCAAGAAUGCUAGCAUGACUAACAUGACUUUUUCCAUGCCAAAGAAGAAAUCUCUUCGGCACUAUCGGCAGGAGGAUUGUGAUGUGAUAAAAAUUGACAUACAAUGUCUAGUCCAGGGAGAUAUUGUUCUGGAGUGUGUACAUCUCGAUCUUGAUCCAGAGAAGGAAGUCAUGAUGUUCCGGAUAAUGUUCAAUACUGCUUUUAUACGUUCAAAUGUAUUGAUGCUGAAUAGCGAUGAUGUGGAUAUACUCUGGGGUUCAAAAGAGCGAUAUCCGAGGAAUUUUAGAGCAGAGGUGCUGUUUUGUGAAGUUGGGGGCAUAUCUCCCCCAAGGGCUCCAACAACAACACUCAAUGGUGAUGUGAAAGGUGGUUUACCAAUUGAAGCCUUUUCAGCUGUUCAAGAACUCUUCAAUGGAGUUGACUGGAUUGCAAACAGCGAUGAUGCUGCCUAUUGGUUGCUCAAAGAAUUCUCAGCAAACUCACUGCAAGAGAAAUUUCAAAAGCUUAUGCUCAAUGACAUGAAAGAGCUCUCAAGAAUUCAAGCUAAAGUUGGUCUACAGAUGCCACUGAUGUCUCCGCUUGAUUCUGAUGAAGAAAAGUAUUCUGUGGCUUCUGAUUCUGUUUCUUCAGCUGAUCAUGAGAAGGUUCAACAUGGUGGAAACUCAUCUGACUCAGAGAAUAUUGAUUGUGAUCAUACCACUGAAGAUUUUGAAUCCAGUGAUACUCUCUCAACGAACAGUUCAUCCCUGCCUCCCCAGCCUCAACCACCUGUGCCUCCUCAUAUGGAGCUACCAAGUAACAUGUCUCCAUCGUCACAACCAGUUCCACCGCCGCCGCCACCACCGCCACCGCGACAGAGUGGUAGGAAACCUGGUUCAUCUCUGUCGCCAUCACCAAGUGAGAGUAAACUUGUUCUCUCAUCGCCGUCACCUCCUCCACCACCACCGCCACCUCCACUGCCGCCACCAAGCAGUGUAGGUCCUACACAGCCUCCACCACCACCACCGCCACCGCCAAGUGGAAGAAAACAUAUUCUGUCAACACCACCACCGCCGCCACCACCACCACCUCCUCGAAUUCACAGUGUGUCUGCUUCACAGACUCCGCCCCCGCCCCCGCCCCCACCGCCACUGCCAAAUUCUGGGGCAGCAAAACAGCAAAUUUUUUGCGCAGCUCCACCGCCACCGCCACCGCCACCGCCACCUGCGGCUACAGGAAUAGCUACGCCACCCGUUCGUCCUCGUCCUCUCUCUUCUAGUAAAGCACCUACAGCUGCUUCUGGUACUCCUUCAAAAGGACCACCUCCACCUCCGCCUCUGCCUCCACCUGCUACUUCUUCAAGAACUUCUGGCCCUUCUAUUCCAUCCCCACCCCCACCCCCACCCCCACCACGCCCAGGUGCUAAUAGUAAAACUCCUCCAGCCCCACCGCCACCUCCCCUCAUGACAGGAAAGAAAGCGCCUGUGCCCCCACCUCCACCACCUCAAGCACCAAAACCUCCUGGAGUUGUGCCUCCACCACCACCACCAAGCUCAAAGAUCUCAAAUGCACCAGCACCACCUCCAUUAUUGGGAAGGGGACGUGGCAACACAACUGGACCAACUAAAGGCCGUGGCAUUGGUUUGGCACAACAAAGUAAUCCUCCCAAGAAGGCUUCACUGAAGCCUCUACAUUGGGUGAAAGUCACGAGAGCAAUGCAAGGGAGUCUCUGGGCUGAUGCCCAGAAACAAGGGAAUCAGGCUAGGUCUCCUGAUAUCGAUUUAUCCGAACUGGAGAGCUUGUUCUCCACUGCAGUUGUAACCAGCACAAGUGAAAAGGGGGCAACAAGACGUGGUUCAGCUAUUAACAAGCCAGAAAUUGUUCACCUGGUUGACAUGCGACGAGCAAACAAUUGUGAGAUAAUGCUUACGAAAAUUAAAAUGCCUCUACCUGAUAUGAUUAAUGCAAUUUUGGCUCUGGACACUUCCGUUCUUGAUAAUGACCAAGUGGAGAAUCUCAUUAAGUUUUGCCCUACAAAGGAAGAGAUCGAGAUGUUGAAGGGUUAUAAUGGCAACAAAGAAAUGCUUGGGAAAUGUGAACAGUUCUUCCUGGAGCUGAUGAAAGUUCCACGUGUAGAGGCCAAGCUAAGAGUUUUUGCUUUCAGAAUUACUUUCUCAACACAGGUAGAUGAACUAAGAACUAACCUAACCACCAUAAACGAUGCAACGAAGGAGGUCAAAGAAUCUCUGAAGUUACGGCAGAUAAUGAAGACCAUUCUCACAUUGGGGAAUGCAUUAAAUCAAGGGACAGCACGAGGAUCUGCUGUUGGCUUCAGAUUAGACAGCCUCCUUAAGCUGUCGGAUACUCGAUCUAGAAACAAUAAAAUGACGCUGAUGCAUUAUUUAUGCAAGCUUCUUGCUGAGAAAAUGCCCGAACUUCUUGAUUUUGACAAAGACCUAAUUUAUCUGGAAGCAGCUUCCAAGAUCCAACUGAAAUUGCUUGCGGAAGAAAUGCAAGCAAUAAACAAAGGUCUUGAGAAGGUGGAGCAGGAGCUAGCUGCUUCAGAAAGUGAUGGUGCGAUUUCAGUUGGCUUUCGUAAGGCAUUGAAAAGCUUUCUUGAUGCAGCAGAAGCUGAGGUUAGGUCCCUCAUUUCCUUAUACGCUGAAGUGGGAAGGAACGCUGAUUCGCUAGCUCAGUAUUUUGGUGAGGAUCCUGCACGCUGCCCGUUUGAACAAGUGACAUCAAUUUUAGUUAUUUUCGUGAAUAUGUUCAAAAAAUCACGUGAUGAAAAUGCUCGAAACGCUGAGGCUGAGAAAAAGAAACUGGAAAAGGAAAAAGAAAAGGCAAGUGUGUCUGCUAAAUAAGGUUUGGAAUGAGACUGCUGCUCUGCCAAAGUUGCAUCUUUGUGAAGCUGUCGUGCUGGACUGACAAAGAGGACCUGCAGUAUAAUUUGCGGCAGUGCAGAACCUGCUUUGAAACACCUUCUGUACGUACAGAGAUGCUGUGCCAGGAGUCUCGCUAUCUGGUUGCCAUCCAUUAAAUGGUUUCCUUUGCGAAUUCCAAGGUCUAGGAGCUUUCGUGCUCAUGUACAGUGGGAAUGUUUGAACAGAUGACUGAACAAACAUGCCCACGCCACGGCUGCUGUAGUUUUUGCGUGUAAAUAUAACAGAAACUGGAGUAUAGCUGUCUCGCCUGUACAUAAAAUUAGUCCAGGGCCCGAAGCGGGGACGAAGAAACUACACCACUGUUCAUUUUUUUCUAUAAUAACAACUGUACAAUGUUGCUGUAUUACUAAAGAGCAAACAAAUGACGAGUACAAAUCAUUUGCACUUCAUACUUUUAUCCAUUGCGAGGCAUGUAGCA